rnacentral:misc_RNA from 1 species
UCGUAUGAUGGAGGUGCUGGGGUUGUCGCUGACUUUUGAAAAAGGGUCGUGCACACCUCGGUGCUCUCGCACAUAUAAUCCAUCUCACCCCUUUUGUGCAUCACCGCGUGGGGACCCCUUUUGGCUAGUUCCGAGGGGGGUUUUCACGUUUUUACAAAGACACCCUUUUAAUGCAAUGUGUAGAAUGUCUUACUUUUUGCGAUCGUACGCAAUUAAUA